GGAAUCGUGUGUACGCAGUUCAUUUGGAAGAUGAGAGAAACGCUGAAGGAUCCUGGAGAAUUGGGACAGGGUGUGUAUGGAACAAUUACUACUUUUGUCGAGCUUUCUUUUCAUAGUCAUCAAUGUCUGAAGAAGUUACUUAUGCGGAUAUAAAAUUCUAGGACUCCAAUAAGACAGAAAAUGUCCAGGGCUUUGACCAAUUGGGGAUAAAAGGAAUUUAUAAAAUUCAAGAGGUUAUGUAAAUAUUGGCUGACAUUAUCUCCCUGAAAAAUUGCGUAGCUUGCAAGAUCUUGGAUGAGACAGUUAUAUCCUCUGACUGAUUUGGGAAGCAGACUGGAUUAGACUAAUAAAACAAACCAGAGAGACUGAACCGGUGGUGCAGCAGCUACAUUCACCUGCUCUGCUUCUGGGAUUCGCUGGUUCAGAUCCUAGGCGGGGACCUAUGCGCCAUUUAUCAAGCCAUGCUGUGAUUGAAAUAGUAGGUGCAGGAACAUGGGUCAGAAAGACAAGGCAACUGCAGCUCUCAAGAAGCUUGCAAUGAGAAGAAAGAAUGAGGUUUAAAAGAAACACAAAUGACUUAAAAGAUAGGAUUAUUGUGGGUAUAUAGAUAAUAUAUGUGUUUAUUAUGCUGGCUGCACUGAGCCAAAAAGGAUUAGAUGUGAGAAGUUGGCUAAUCCAGUGAAGAUUGAGAGUACGCUAAUGAGGGAACUACCAGAAGGAAGAAUGCAGUCAGUGCAAUUAUUUUGCCUCAGCUAUUAUCCUGCAAUUAAAGGCAACUCAGGGGGCAUAUAGCUUACGGACUACACCAAUGGAAUAAAGAUGCUAUGCGACUAAAUUUUUGUCUAUCUCCUAACAAUUUACAUUUUCAAACUUUGUUCCUUCUCCUCAUUUUCUGAGUGCAGGUAACCUAAAGUCAUACUUUAUCAUCUAGAUAUAGUCCAGAUAUUUGGUAGAAAUAUAGUGCUUUGGGUGAGAAUACAGAAAACUGAAGCUAAUUGCUCCUGCUUUUCCAGAAAUAAACAAGUUAAAUACCAACCUUAUGGAAAAUCAGAAAAAUUAUAUCUAGGAAUACAUAGAGAAGAUAAUGCACCAUGACCAAUUGUCGUUUAUUCUAGUAACUCAGGUUGAUUUAUAUUUUAGAAAAGAAAUAUGAAAGAGAGAUAAAAUAUAUAUUAUUUCAAUAGAUGUACAAAACACUUGAUAAAAUUGAACUCUUAACCAUUGUAAAAUCUCUCAGAAAACUAGAAGCAGAUUUUCCUAAUCUAAUAAAAAAUGUCAACAUUACAAAGAGAAAAGGAAAAAAAACCCAACAGCAACAACAAAUCCUAAACCUAACAUCAUAUUUCUGGUAAAAGGGUGAAUGUUUUUCUUCUGAGCUCUGGAACGAGAUCAGAGUGGUUUUAUCAAUUAUUUUACUCAACAACCUCUACUACCCAUUGAAGAUCCUAGCAGUGA